rnacentral:rRNA from 1 species
UACGAAGGGGGCUAGCGUUGUUCGGAAUUACUGGGCGUAAAGCGUAUGCAGGCGGACUUUUUAGUCGGGGGUGAAAUCCCGAGGCUCAACCUCGGAACUGCCUUCGAUACUGGAAGUCUUGAGUCCGGGAGAGGUGAGUGGAACUCCGAGUGUAGAGGUGAAAUUCGUAGAUAUUCGGAAGAACACCAGUGGCGAAGGCGGCUCACUGGCCCGGUACUGACGCUGAGAUACGAAAGCGUGGGGAGCAAAC